UACGUAGGGGGCAGCGUUGUCCGGAAUCAUUGGGCGUAAAGCGCGUGUAGGCGGUCCGGUAAGUCCGCUGUGAAAGUCGGGGGCUCAACCCUCGGAUGCCGGUGGAUACUGUCGGGCUUGAGUACGGAAGAGGCGAGUGGAAUUCCCGGUGUAGCGGUGAAAUGCGUAGAUAUCUGGAGGAACACCGGUGGCGAAGGCGGCUUCUGGACAAAUACCGACGCGUGAGGCACGAAAGCUAGGGGAGCAAACAGG
rnacentral:rRNA from 1 species